UACAGAGGGGGCAAGCGUUAUUCGGAAUUAUUGGGCGUAAAGGGCGCGUAGGCGGCUUGGCAAGUGGAUGGUGAAAUCCCUCGGCUUAACCGAGGAACUGCCAUCCAGACUGCUUCGCUUGAGACCGGGAGAGGUGAGUGGAAUUCCCAGUGUAGCGGUGAAAUGCGUAGAUAUUGGGAGGAACACCAGUGGCGAAGGCGGCUCACUGGACCGGUACUCACGCUGAGGCGCGAAAGCGUGGGGAGCAAACAGG
rnacentral:rRNA from 1 species